rnacentral:lncRNA from 1 species
UUACCUAUGUCGAUGUAGUUUACCUCUAAUAUUUCACUGACUAACCACAAGUUGUCUUUGGAAGACAUAUCAGAUAACAGGAAGUUGCACGCUGCUUGCGAUAAUUUAAUGUUACUAAUAUUUUCAUAAUUCAUUUGCUACACUUGUUAUUAUUAUUGUAUCUUAACCAUUUUUAAGGAUGGAUCAUGUAACACCCUAAACCUAGACUCUUAAUAUAAAAGAGAAAUCCCACAACUUAGGAUGCUAAUCAAAACAAAA